UACGUAGGUGGCAAACGUUAUCCGGAAUUACUGGGUGUAAAGAGUUCGUAGGCGUUUUAGAAGGUCUCUGAUUAAAUCCCAAAGCUCAACUUUGGAUCGGUUGGAGAAACCACUAGAAUAGAAGGGUAUCGAGGUGAGUGGAAUUUGUGGUGUAGCAGUGAAAUGCGUUGAUAUCACAAGGAACACCAAUGGCGAAGGCAGCUCACUAGGUAUUACUUGACGCUGAGGAACGAAAGCGUGGGUAGCAAACGGG
rnacentral:rRNA from 1 species